rnacentral:rRNA from 1 species
UCAGAUUGAACGCUGGCGGCAUGCCUUACACAUGCAAGUCGAACGGCAGCAUGAUCUAGCUUGCUAGAUUGAUGGCGAGUGGCGAACGGGUGAGUAAUACAUCGGAACGUGCCCUGUAGUGGGGGAUAACUAGUCGAAAGAUUAGCUAAUACCGCAUACGACCUGAGGGUGAAAGUGGGGGACCGCAAGGCCUCAUGCUAUAGGAGCGGCCGAUGUCUGAUUAGCUAGUUGGUGGGGUAAAGGCCCACCAAGGCGACGAUCAGUAGCUGGUCUGAGAGGACGAUCAGCCACACUGGGACUGAGACACGGCCCAGACUCCUACGGGAGGCAGCAGUGGGGAAUUUUGGACAAUGGGGGCAACCCUGAUCCAGCAAUGCCGCGUGUGUGAAGAAGGCCUUCGGGUUGUAAAGCACUUUUGUCCGGAAAGAAAUCGCACUUACUAAUAUUAGGUGUGGAUGACGGUACCGGAAGAAUAAGGACCGGCUAACUACGUGCCAGCAGCCGCGGUAAUACGUAGGGUCCAAGCGUUAAUCGGAAUUACUGGGCGUAAAGCGUGCGCAGGCGGUUGUGCAAGACCGAUGUGAAAUCCCCGGGCUUAACCUGGGAAUUGCAUUGGUGACUGCACGGCUAGAGUGUGUCAGAGGGGGGUAGAAUUCCACGUGUAGCAGUGAAAUGCGUAGAGAUGUGGAGGAAUACCGAUGGCGAAGGCAGCCCCCUGGGAUAACACUGACGCUCAUGCACGAAAGCGUGGGGAGCAAACAGGAUUAGAUACCCUGGUAGUCCACGCCCUAAACGAUGUCAACUAGUUGUUGGGGAUUCAUUUCCUUAGUAACGUAGCUAACGCGUGAAGUU